CCUACGGGAGGCAGCAGUAGGGAAUAUUGCUCAAUGGGGGAAACCCUGAAGCAGCAACGCCGCGUGGAGGAUGAAGGUUUUCGGAUUGUAAACUCCUUUUGUUAGAGAAGAUAAUGACGGUAUCUAACGAAUAAGCACCGGCUAACUCGGUGCCAGCAGCCGCGGUAAUACGGGGGGUGCAAGCGUUACUCGGAAUCACUGGGCGGAAAGAGCGCGUAGGCGGGAUAGCAAGUCAGAUGUGAAAUCCUAUGGCUCAACCAUAGAACUGCAUUUGAAACUGUUAUUCUAGAGUAUGGGAGAGGUAGGUGGAAUUCUUGGUGUAGGGGUAAAAUCCGUAGAGAUCAAGAGGAAUACUCAUUGCGAAGGCGACCUGCUAGAACAUAACUGACGCUGAUGCGCGAAAGCGUGGGGAGCAAACAGGAUUAGAUACCCGAGUAGUC
rnacentral:rRNA from 1 species